CGUCACGUCAACCAUCGACGAGGCGGAUUUUCCCUUCUCGACUCCCUUUCUGAGUUGGAUUUUCUCCACGAUCCUGACUUCGUGGCACGUUCUGGUCAUCCAUCGUUUGUUUUUUCACUUGUAGGUUCUCUUACCCCAUUUUAGCGGUGGCCAUUGUGCCCCUCGUGGCUCGUCUACGAACUCGCUCCAGGCUGCACCAGUGCCCCUCACCGACCCGUGUGCCAUCUCGUUGAAACUUGUUGGGCCCCUAGCCCCCUAGUGGCUCCAUCUUCAUCCUUGUUGGCUCC
rnacentral:lncRNA from 7 species